rnacentral:rRNA from 1 species
GAGUUUGAUCGUGGCUCAGAUUGAACGCUGGCGGCAGGCCUAACACAUGCAAGUCGAGCGGAUGACGGGAGCUUGCUCCUUGAUUCAGCGGCGGACGGGUGAGUAAUGCCUAGGAAUCUGCCUGGUAGUGGGGGACAACGUUUCGAAAGGAACGCUAAUACCGCAUACGUCCUACGGGAGAAAGCAGGGGACCUUCGGGCCUUGCGCUAUCAGAUGAGCCUAGGUCGGAUUAGCUAGUUGGUGGGGUAAUGGCUCACCAAGGCGACGAUCCGUAACUGGUCUGAGAGGAUGAUCAGUCACACUGGAACUGAGACACGGUCCAGACUCCUACGGGAGGCAGCAGUGGGGAAUAUUGGACAAUGGGCGAAAGCCUGAUCCAGCCAUGCCGCGUGUGUGAAGAAGGUCUUCGGAUUGUAAAGCACUUUAAGUUGGGAGGAAGGGCAGUAAGUUAAUACCUUGCUGUUUUGACGUUACCGACAGAAUAAGCACGGCUAACUCUGUG